rnacentral:rRNA from 1 species
UACGAAGGGGGCAAGCGUUAUUCGGAAUUACUGGGCGUAAAGCGCGCGUAGGCGGCUUUGUAAGUCAGGGGUGAAAGCCCGGGGCUCAACCUGGGAACUGCAUUUGAUACUGCUAGGCUAGAGUCUGGGAGAGGAUGGCGGAAUUUCCUGUGUAGCGGUGAAAUGCGUAGAUAUAGGAAAGAACAUCAGUGGCGAAGGCGGCCCUCUGGACCGGUACUGACGCUGAGGUGCGAAAGCGUGGGGAGCAAACAGG